rnacentral:rRNA from 1 species
AGAGUUUGAUCCUGGCUCAGGAUGAACGCUGGCGGCGUGCUUAACACAUGCAAGUCGAGCGAAGCGAUUUAAAUGAGACUUCGGUGGAUUUUAAAUUGACUGAGCGGCGGACGGGUGAGUAACGCGUGGAUAACCUGCCUCACACAGGGGGAUAACAGUUAGAAAUGACUGCUAAUACCGCAUAAGCGCACGGUACCGCAUGGUACAGUGUGAAAAACUCCGGUGGUGUGAGAUGGAUCCGCGUCUGAUUAGGUAGUUGGUGAGGUAACGGCCCACCAAGCCGACGAUCAGUAGCCGACCUGAGAGGGUGACCGGCCACAUUGGGACUGAGACACGGCCCAAACUCCUACGGGAGGCAGCAGUGGGGAAUAUUGCACAAUGGGCGAAAGCCUGAUGCAGCAACGCCGCGUGAGUGAAGAAGUAUCUCGGUAUGUAAAGCUCUAUCAGCAGGGAAGAAAAUGACGGUACCUGACUAAGAAGCCCCGGCUAACUACGUGCCAGCAGCCGCGGUAAUACGUAGGGGGCAAGCGUUAUCCGGAUUUACUGGGUGUAAAGGGAGCGCAGACGGCACUGCAAGUCUGAAGUGAAAGCCCGGGGCUCAACCCCGGGACUGCUUUGGAAACUGUAGAGCUAGAGUGCUGGAGAGGCAAGCGGAAUUCCUAGUGUAGCGGUGAAAUGCGUAGAUAUUAGGAAGAACACCAGUGGCGAAGGCGGCUUGCUGGACAGUAACUGACGUUCAGGCUCGAAAGCGUGGGGAGCAAACAGGAUUAGAUACCCUGGUAGUCCACGCCGUAAACG